AUCUGAGUGAAAAUAGAGUGUAUGUCUUGUAAGGAAUUGAGGGAAUUCUCUAAGGCAUGUUACUACAUUCAAAGCAUUGUUUUAAUUGAUUACUUGUGAACUAGUAAGUGGUGGCUUUAAUUAAGUAUGUGCUUGUGUAAAGAUGACUCAUAUCUGUGGGGAUAGCAAUCUUUAACAUGUCAUGUGCAUUGGAAAUCCCUGAGGCAAACGUUGGAAGGUUUAGGUUUUGUUUUGGUUAAGUUGGUUUCGUUUUGUUUCCUUUCUUUUGUUUGUUUUGCUCGAGGACUAGCAAAAGCUAAGUGUGGGGGAAUUUGAUAGGAGCAUAUUUAUGCGCCUUAGUUAGCUAGUUCUGAUGCAUCUUUGUUAUGUUUUCUUCGUUAAAGUAGUCUUUUAAGCUACUUUCAUGUGUUUUCAGGUUUAAAGGACAUAUUACAUGAAAUGAUGCAAUUUGGAGCUUUUGGAGCAAAAAGUGAGCUUGGAAUGAAAAGAACAUGCUUGGAACACAAGGUUGGGAUGAAAUUGAAGAAUUGAAGAUUUGAGGUUUCCUACUUGAAGUAGGAAAGCUAAGCCUAAAAGUUUCCAUUUUGGGUUGAUCUUUCCUAAAUCGGAAUUGGCAACCAAAGUUUCUAAAAGUUGGAAGUUUCUAUUCUUGGAGGUUUCCAUUUUCGUGAGUUUCUAUUCUCGGCUUUGGGCUUUUG
rnacentral:lncRNA from 1 species